CUACUUCAGCCGGUUCACCGACAAAAGCGCGAUAGACAUAUGAGCGCCGACAAAACCGCAACGGACAAAUGAGCGCCGACAAACUCGCUAACUGGUUUUCGACAAAUGCGCGCCGACAAAAUCGCGAGAGAGGCCAAGAGAGUGGGACGCGUACGUGCACAUUAUGUACACAUUAUGUGCUAGAUGCUAAUUGCACUGAGUUUCGUUCCUCCGGAAGAUGUUGGGUCCACUUUCGAUGGACUGAGCGAGAGUAGACUCGACAAUCUCCAGAAUGUUUAUGAUUACUGGGAAGACAAUUACAUUGGUCGAUUGAGACGCAAUUGACGAGCCAACCCGUUGUUUCCUAUCACCAUGUGGAACAUGCGAGAACGUGUUGCUGAUGGCAUGCCGCGAACAAAUAACUCAGUCGAGGGUUGGCAUAACGCAUUCCAGUCGUCUCGGAAUUACCAGCAGUCAGGCAGCCAGCAAGUCUAAAUACGCUCAACUAUCAAGACGUCUUGCUGCAAUUCUUCCUACAUAUGCAGGGUGUGAUCUUAAGGACUAUCUGUGUGCCGUGUCUCAUAAUAUUGACUUCUAAAAUAAACAUUAUUAUAUAUGCUUUAAACUAGUAAUUCAUAUUUAAAGAAAC